AGCAUGGCAACAUGCGGAGCUGAGAGAUACUAAUCGAUCGAGGGCUUAUCCA
rnacentral:rRNA from 1 species